UACGUAGGAGACGAGCGUUGUCCGGAGUUACUGGGCGUAAAGGGCGCGUAGGCGGCGUGACAAGUCACUUGUGAAAUCUCCGGGCUUAACUCGGAACGGUCAAGUGAUACUGUCGUGCUAGAGUACAGAAGGGGCAACUGGAAUUCUCGGUGUAGCGGUGAAAUGCGUAGAUAUCGAGAGGAACACCUGCGGCGAAGGCGGGUUGCUGGGCUGAUACUGACGCUGAGGCGCGAAAGCGUGGGGAGCGAACAGG
rnacentral:rRNA from 1 species